rnacentral:rRNA from 1 species
GUUAUUAAAAACAUGUCCUAUUGAUUAUAAUUUUAGGUCUGACCUGCCCAAUGAAGAAUUUUUAAUGGCCGCGGUAUAUUGACCGUGCAAAGGUAGCAUAAUCAUUAGUUUUUUAAUUGAAAGCUUGUAUGAAGGGUUUGAUGAAAAAAUAGCUGUCUCUAUUUAAAUUUAGUUAGAAUUUUAUUUUUAAGUUAAAAAGCUUAAAUAUUCAUAGAAGACGAGAAGACCCUAUAGAGUUUAAUAAUUAUUUUUAUUUAUGAUAUUUUAGGAUUUUUUGAUUUAUUUAGAUAAUUAUUUAGUUGGGGUGAUUGAAAAAUUAAAAAAACUUUUUUUUUAUUUUUACAUUAAUUUAUGAAUGUUUGAUCCUUUAUUAAAGAUUAAAAGAUAAAAUUACCUUAGGGAUAACAGCGUAAUUUUUUUUUAGAGGCCAAAUCAAAAAAAAAGAUUGCGACCUCGAUGUUGGAUUAAAAUAAAUUAUUGGUGUAGAAGCUAAUAAAUUAGGUCUGUUCGACCUUUAAAAUUUUACAUGAUCUGAGUUUAAACCGGUGUGAGCCAGGUCGGUU